GUUGAUUGUGCAGUUACUAUGAGACUCAGUUCACUGAUGGAGAAACUAAGAGAGCACAGUUAAUUAUGAUAAUUCCCUAUAUUUAACAUUUGGAUUUGUUUGCUUUGUGUUUUUUGUUGUGUUUGUUGGUUUUGAGAUGGAGUCUCACUCUGUCACCCUGGCUGGAGUGCAGUGGUAUGAUCUCGGCUCACUGCAACCUCUGCCUCCCGGAUUCAAGCAAUUCUCCUGCCUCAGCCUUCUGAGUAGCUGGGAUUACAGACAUGUGCCACCACAACCGGCUAAUUAUUUGUAUUUUUUUUGUAGAGACAGGGUUUCUCCAUGUUGCUCAGGCUGGUCUCGAACUCCUGUCCUCAAAUAAUCCACCUGCCUCGGCCUCUCAAAGUGCUGGGAUUACAGCCGUGAGCCACUGCACCUGGCCUGACAUUUGAACCUUGUCUUCCCCAAUGCAGCAU
rnacentral:lncRNA from 1 species